rnacentral:rRNA from 1 species
GAUGAACGCUGGCGGCGUGCCUAAUACAUUCAAGUCGAGCGAGCGGCGGACGGGUGAGUAAUGUCUGGGCAACUGUCUGAUGGAGGGGGAUAACUACUGGAAACGGUAGCUAAUACCGCAUACAAUCAGAUGUGCCCAUAUGGGAUUAGCUAGUAGGUGGGGUAAUGGCUUACUUAGUCGACGCUCCCUAGCUGGUCUGAGAGGAUGACCAGCCACACGGGAACUGAGACACGGUCCAGACUCGUACGGGAGGCAGCAGUGGGGAAUAUUGCACAAUGGGCGCAAGCCUGAUGCAGCCAUGCCGCGUGUGUGAAGAAGGCCUUCGGGUUGUAAAGCACUUUCAGCGAGGAGGCGUUACUCGCAGAAGAAGCACCGGCUAACUCCGUGCCAGCCGCCGCGGUAAUUC